GCUCUUAUGGUGUAAUGGUUAGCACUCUGGACUUUGAAUCCAGCGAUCCGGGGUACAAGCC
rfam:Phytophthora infestans T30-4 supercont1.1 genomic scaffold, whole genome shotgun sequence.